rnacentral:tRNA from 1 species
GGCCGAGUGGUUAUCACACUAGGCUUGCAAGCAGGAGGUCCGGGUUCGAUUCCCGGCUGGGCCG